AGAAAUUCUAUCACUAGUAGUUUCACGAGGUUAAGAUUUAGAGUUCAAAGUAAGAACUAUUUUUCUGGGAAUUGAGUUUCCUUUCAUGAUUCAUUGCAAGACAGAAAUAAUACUGAUCCUAUUUUUUUUCUGUGACAUUUUUGUUUUUGGAUUGAGCUAGGGUAACUUUUCAUUAUGAUUUCAGCCACGAGAUCAAAGGUUUAUCCAAGCAAAUGGGGUACUUACUGUUACUGUCACUGUUGCUGCUGAUUGGAUUGGAAAAUACACAUAAGUGUUGGUUAGAUAUUGAAUUGGUUUCACUGUAGUACUUCUCUCUCUUUCUUUCUUUUUCUAAUCAUAUUCAAGUUUGUUUCAAAUUGCAUAAAAAUUAGAAGUGAGUGAUGUGAGUGGACAAGUACCUUCCUAGUUUCGUCAGAAUAAAAGGUACUGCUGCCACCCCUACUGCUGGCAAUAAAACAUAAACUAAUUGUAUUUGAAAAGUAAUAUCCAUAUAUAUGAUAAAAUUAGUGGAAUAAUACCAAGUUUGCAUAGUGAUCAGCACUUGAUAUAGUUUGAGUUUGGCACCUAUCCAAUAUUUUUCCAAAUAACCUUGGCUGAACUAGAUAGAGUUGUCUACUCAGAACUUCUGUAUGAUAGCAUCAUCAUCAUCUAGCUAGAAUUUAUCUCUACAUUCAAUAAGCUGAAAACCAAACCUAUCCAAUAUUUUUCCAAAUAACCUUGGCUGAACUAGAUAGAGUUGUCUACUCAGAACUUCUGUAUGAUAGCAUCAUCAUCAUCUAGCUAGAAUUUAUCUCUACAUUCAAUAAGCUGAAAACCAAUCAUGCAUAUCAGCCAAAGAAUGAGUUUGCAUUCAUAUUAUUCUAAUCACAUAGCAGCCAUUUGCUAAAUCUUCAAUAUUUCAAUACAAUGCAGCCAAGACAUUUGUUGACUAAAAGAUGUAUCCACCAUUCGACACGCUGCAGGAUCAAUCAUCGGUGCCAAAGUAGCGAUCACCAAAUUCACCCAAUCCUGGGAUAACACGGAACUCUUCAUUUAAUGCAACAUCAAUCUCAGAUGUGACAAUUUUCAACGAUGGGAACCUUUUACACACACAGUGGAUUCCCUCAGGAGC
rnacentral:lncRNA from 1 species